rnacentral:rRNA from 1 species
UCUUGUGGAUCAGUGGCGAACGGGUGAGUAACACGUGAGCAACCUGCCCCGGACUCUGGGAUAAGCGCUGGAAACGGCGUCUAAUACUGGAUAUGAGACGUGACCGCAUGGUCAACGUUUGGAAAGAUUUUUCGGUCUGGGAUGGGCUCGCGGCCUAUCAGCUUGUUGGUGAGGUAAUGGCUCACCAAGGCGUCGACGGGUAGCCGGCCUGAGAGGGUGACCGGCCACACUGGGACUGAGACACGGCCCAGACUCCUACGGGAGGCAGCAGUGGGGAAUAUUGCACAAUGGGCGAAAGCCUGAUGCAGCAACGCCGCGUGAGGGAUGACGGCCUUCGGGUUGUAAACCUCUUUUAGCAGGGAAGAAGCGAAAGUGACGGUACCUGCAGAAAAAGCGCCGGCUAACUACGUGCCAGCAGCCGCGGUAAUACGUAGGGCGCAAGCGUUAUCCGGAAUUAUUGGGCGUAAAGAGCUCGUAGGCGGUCUGUCGCGUCUGCUGUGAAAACUGGAGGCUCAACCUCCAGCCUGCAGUGGGUACGGGCAGACUAGAGUGCGGUAGGGGAGAUUGGAAUUCCUGGUGUAGCGGUGGAAUGCGCAGAUAUCAGGAGGAACACCGAUGGCGAAGGCAGAUCUCUGGGCCGUAACUGACGCUGAGGAGCGAAAGGGUGGGGAGCAAACAG